UGCGUAGGCGGACUAAUAAGUCAGUGGUGAAAUCUUUCGGCUCAACCGGGAAACUGCCAUUGAUACUGUUAAUCUUGAGUUCGGUUGAGGUAGGCGGAAUGUGUAAUGUAGCGGUGAAAUGCUUAGAUAUUACACAGAACACCAAUUGCGUAGGCAGCUUACUAGACCGACACUGACGCUGAGGCACGAAAGCGUGGGUAGCGAACAGGAUUAGAUACCCUGGUAGUCC
rnacentral:rRNA from 1 species